rnacentral:rRNA from 1 species
UACGAAGGGGGCUAGCGUUACUCGGAUUGACUGGGCGUAAAGGGCGCGUAGGCGGUUUGUACAGUCAGACGUGAAAUUCCUGGGCUCAACCUGGGGGCUGCGUUUGAUACGUGCAGACUUGAGUUCGGAAGAGGGUCGUGGAAUUCCCAGUGUAGAGGUGAAAUUCGUAGAUAUCGGGAGGAACAUCGGUGGCGAAGGCGGCGACCUGGGUCGAUACUGACGCUGAGGCGCGAAAGCGUGGGGAGCAGACAGG